GGAGGCGGAAGGCGACUCGGACCUGGGCGCCCGGCCCAGGGCGGUGUGGCUGAGCGGCUGCCCCAGCCCCAGUCUGGGCCCGGCCUCUCGCCUCUUGCCUUCGGCCUCCCGCCUCCCGUCCCGGGCGGGCUGCGCGGCACCGACCCGACGGCGGCGGGCGGGGCAGGGGAGGCACGGGGAAGAAAUAGAACCCCGACCUCGCGGACCCGGGCCCGGCCCGCGGGCUCGCCUGCCUCUCCUGCCCAGCAGAGCACCCGGAGCGGUACCGGCCCAGCGGCCGCUCUCCGCGACUUGGGCCUCUCGUCCUCUGACGCGCCUCCCGGGCAGGGCCGAGGUCGGGGCCGAGGUCUCCCACUAGAGGGCCACGAUCUGCCUACGCGGCUGUGUCGCCCUAGCGGAGGGCGAGCGCCUCAGGAGCUGAGACGGCGUCCUCUUCCCUCAGAUCUGGCACUAGUGGAGCCUAGUAGGCAGCUAUGUGAAAGGUAGCAGAGGGGGCAUGGGCCUGGCGCUUACUAGGUGCGCCCUCAAUGUUGGGUCAUUGCUAUAUCUAGAGACCUGCACGAAGGCCCGGAGGAAUGGAGCCUCUGGAGGAACCGUGAGACCCGCGGUGAACAGAGUUGAAGGCCUGGCAACGGGUGCCUCCCAGGGUAUAGACGGCAAGACCUCCGAGUUACAGGGGAAGCUAGGACUGUGCAAGGUGAGAACGGAGAGGUGGGCAGAUGGCCCAGAAGGUGACCAGCAGGACCUUCCAAGAGCCCAGCGUACCUGGAGACAGGCGGAAUUAAGGCAACAGCCAGUUUGAGAUACACACUGAACUUCAAACAAGUCUAGACUACCACCUGCAGACUACUGGAGACAACUUUUUAUUUGAAUGAACAGAAUCGUGGACUAAAAUGAAAGAGAAAAUAAUGUAUCGGGAUUGUGGCAAUACAUAGAAGCCAUGGGACAGGAAGUAUUAUUAUCCCUUUCUGUAAAGGUUUGGAACCAGGGAAAAGAUGAAAACGUCAACUUUAUCACCAAUAAAGCAGAGCUGAAAAAUGUCUUGGAUGAUGAC
rnacentral:lncRNA from 1 species